AUGGCGUCGUCCCGUCGGGUUCUUCUUGUGGCGCUGCUAGUGUCAAUGGCAGCAGGUGUUGCAAUGGGCAGGCCGGUGAGAAGCGACUUGGGUCUGGGUUUAGGUGGUGGGCUAGGCAUAGGGCUUGAUCUUGGGCUCGGUGGAUCGGGUUCGGGCCAGGGGUCGGGUUACAGUGCUUGGUCGGGUCAGAACGGUGGCUCUCACACCGCGUCCGGUCGUGGGUCGGGCACGGGCUCCGGUUACGGGUAUGGCUCGGGCUCUGCUAAUGGGGGCUCAGCUUUCGGUUGCGGUUCGGGUACGUCGUCUUGCUCGGGUUCGGGUUCUGGCUCUGGCUCCGUAGGCUUGGACACAUCGAUAAAUGUCGGUGUUGGUGUCAGCGUCGGCUCGAAUGGUGGGGCGAACGGUGGUCCGGACUGUAACACGGGUACCGGGUCGAACUAUGGUUCCGGAGCGGGCUUGGGUUCGGGCUCUGGGUCCGGGUCCGGGUCAGGUGGAGGUUCAUAUUCCUCACGUGGGCGUGAGUCAUCUGGUAUUGGGUCGGGUUCUGGUGUAUCGUCCGGGGUUGGCGGCGGGUCGAAUGUCGGGCCAAGUGGUGGGUGCUUAUCUUGUGGUUCCGGCAUUGGUGGUGUUGUUGGUGGCUCCUCGUCGAAUUCAAAUUCGAAUUCGGGCACUGGUUCAGGCUCCAACUCGUAUGGUGGGUCGAAUGCCGGUUCUUACUCGAAUACUGCAGCUGGGUCCGGCUCAAGCGUAGGCUCGGGAUAUGAUUCCUCUGGCUCAGGUUCAGGUUCAGGUUCAUCUUCUGGGUCAGGUGCGGCUUCAUUUGGUGGAUCACGUGUCGGUUCAAACUCCAACUCUGGCUCUACGUCGGGUGCAAACUCAGGGUCAAAUUCUGGUGCAAUCGGUGCAUCAGGUAGUGGAUCAAACUCCAUGUCAAGUGCAAACUCGGGUGCGUUCGGUGCAUCAGGCGGUGGAUCAAACUCCAUGUCGGGUUCGGGGUCAAGCUCUAACUCCGGCUCUAUGUCGGGUGCAAACUCGGAUGCUGGUUCGAGCUCUGGGUCUACUGGAUUCGGUUCCAGCACGGGCGCCGGUUCUAGCUCGAGCGCCUGGUCCGGCGCCGGCUCCGGCUCGAACCCCGGCUCAUUCUCCGGAGCAGGAUCCUCCAGCUGGUCCAGCUCGACGUCCGGCUCAACCUCGGGCGCAGGGUUCGGUCCCGGGGGACGGCCGGGGUUCGGCGUGGGCGGAGGAGGAACAGGCUACGGCGCGGGUUACGGGUCCGGUGGCGGGUCUGGCUGGGGCAAGCACCACUGA
rnacentral:rRNA from 1 species